rnacentral:snoRNA from 1 species
CCGUCAGGAUGAAAAAAAUACGGAUGUAGAGUCCACGACUCGCUGUCCGAGAGCGCAUAAACCUCGUGUGGAUGAUUCCGUUGCCUUCCUUCUGAACCAUACU